AACGAACGCUGGCGGCAGGCUUAACACAUGCAAGUCGAACGGGUGUAGCAAUACAUCAGUGGCAGACGGGUGAGUAACACGUGGGAACCUUCCUAGGGGUACGGAACAACUCAGGGAAACUUGAGCUAAUACCGUAUACGUCCGUAAGGAGAAAGAUUCAUCGCCCCUAGACGGGCCCGCGUCGGAUUAGGUAGUUGGUGGGGUAACGGCCUACCAAGCCUACGAUCCGUAGCUGAUCUGAGAGGAUGAUCAGCCACACUGGGACUGAGACACGGCCCAGACUCCUACGGGAGGCAGCAGUGGGGAAUCUUGGACAAUGGGCGGCAAGCCUGAUCCAGCCAUGCCGCGUGAGUGAAGAAGGCCUUAGGGUUGUAAAGCUCUUUUACCAGGGACGAUAAUGACGGUACCU
rnacentral:rRNA from 1 species